UACCUCGUCGGCUGGAAGGGUUUCCUUCCAGCUGAUGAGGUACAUGCUCGACGGCUGGAAGGAAAUCCUUCCAGCCUUUGAGGUACAUGUACCUCGUUGGCUGGAAGGAAAUCCUUCCAGCCGUUGAGGUA
rnacentral:miRNA from 1 species